AGACAGGGUCUCACUCUGUCACCCAGGCUGGAGUGCAGUGGUGUGAUUGUAGCUUAUUACAGCCUUGAACUCUUGGGCUCAAGUGAUCCUCCCACCUCAGCCUCCCAAGUAGCUAGGACUAGAAGUGUACACUACCAUGCCUGGCUAAUUUUUUUUUGGUACAGACAGGGUCUGACUAUGUUGCUCAGGCUGGUCUUGAAUUCCUGGCCUCAAGCAAUCCUCCUGCCUUGGCCUCUCGAAGCGCUCUGAGAUUAUAGGGAUUACAGGCAUAAAGUACCGUGCCCAGCCUAAACUUUUUUUUUAACAUGACUACAGGCUGGGCACAGUGGCUCACGCCUGUAAUCCCAGCACUUUGGGAGGCCGAGGUAGGCAGAUCACAAGGUCAAGAGAUCGAGACCAUCCUGGCCAACAUGGUGAAACCCCGUCUCUACUAAAAGUACAAAAAUUAGCUGGGCAUGGUGGCGGGCGCCUGUCAUCCCAGUUACUAGGGAGGCUGAGGCAGGAGAAUCACUUAAACCUGGGAGGCAGAGAUUGCAGUGAGCUGAGAUCCUGUCAUUGCAACUCCAGCAACAAGAGCAAAACUCCAAAAAAAAAAAAAGAGAAAAAAAAAUGACUACAACUGAAGGCCUCUUGUGAUUGUAAAGUAGAAGAAAUUAGAUCUCUGGAUACUGAACAGGAGAAAGGAGAUUAGACUUUGAAAUCAUAAAUUAGCAAAUUUCAAAAAGGGGCCUCCCUGUUUGCCCAGCAAAACAUUAAGGAUCUAUUAUUCUGUUGACAUGUUAACUUUCUCUAAUCUUUAUGCUGUCUUUUACAGAUGGGCUGAUUUCUUUGUCAUUCUAGAGCCUUAAAAUAUUCAUACAUUUUGAUCUAUUGAUAAAUUUCAUCACUGGAGAUUUAUCUUAUAGAAAUAAUUCCAAAGAAGGGAGAGCCUUCUAUCAUUCUACGGCUAGCAGUUCCCUGCUGUUCUGGGCUCUCUCUCCUUCCCUGGGCUGCUCCUACGUCACUAUACUACUACCUUUACCAUUCCAUCAUCAAGUGUAUACAUUACCCCACAGCACAAAAAGAACCGGCUAGAAAAGAACAGAACAGAAUUGCAAUGGCAGAAUUGACAACUGGCUUACCAUUUCAGCUGUUCAAGGCCUGACUGGUCUUCCUGCACUUCCUAGUAAGAUGACUCACGGUACCAUUACAGAAUUAUCUCACGCUAGGGUCAAACCUGAUUUCUACCACCGAGUGUGUGGUAGAGGCAUGUUUCUCAGAACCCAGAGCCAAGAUAAGGAACAGUCUCCAAUUCCCUGUUCUCUCCCCUCCCUCCUUCACCCUUCAUUCCAGGCAAGUCUCCUAGGCAAGUGUGUCCCAUCCUCAUCCUCUUUUUUUUUUUUUUUUUUUUUUGAGGCAGGGUUUCACUGUCUCUGUUGCCCAGACUGGAGUACAGUGGUGUGAUCAUGACACACUGCAGACUCGACCUCCUGGGCUCAGGUGAGCCUCCUGCCCCAGCCUCCUGAACAUCUGGGAUUGCCAGUGUAUGCCACCACUCCCUGCUAAUUAAAAAAAUUUUUUUGUUUUUUAGAGACAGGUUCUCACUAUGUUGCCCAGGCUGGUCUCAAACUCCUGGACUUAACCUAUCCUCCCGCCCUGGACUUCCAAAGUGCUGAGAGUACAGGUGUGAGCUGCCACACCUGACCUCUUGUUGGUUUAGUCUUUCCAAAGUUUUUUCCAUGUGAUUGACAGGGGCAAGGUCCAUGCUUAAGAGUGAACUGUCCCAGAUUUCCCAUGGCUGUCACAGUUUUAACACUCAAAGUCCCAUGUUCAGGGAAACUCCUCAGUCCUGGGCAAAACUAAGACUGGUUAUCCUACUUCAGGGAAGCACCAUCCUACCUCAGGGGAGUGGCUCCAUGAGGAGAGUCCUACCAGAAUUCAGUGAUCAACAGUAAACACCAUAAUGAGUUCUUGAGUCUUAACAUCAAUAUGAGGAACAUCAGGGGUACAGCCCAGGAUGAUCUUCACUUCUGCUGGCCUUGUUUCUUUUUUACAGUUUUUCCUCUAGUGUGAGGAGAUUCCCGCAAGGUUGAUGGUUUCAACUCCUGAUCUCUUGUGAUCCACUCUUCAGUCUAAAUAAACAUUUCCAUAAGAACAUGCAGUAGUUUGCUGUCAAACUGAAGCUUAAAUCCAUAUAUAUACAUACAUAUUUGAAAAGAACAGUUCUCUAAAGGAAAUUUAUCUGUAAAGGUGCAACUCUGCCCAUAGAAUAAGCCACCCUUUCCAUGGUCUCACAAAGCAGUCUAGACUCAGCGUUGCAAAUAUUUUCAUUUUCAGAUGAUGAUUUUAGAUAAAUCUUUGCCGAACUUUCAGGUGUUUUACUCAAAAGUCUCCAGCUUUUGAAAAAAGGAAAAUGUCUAGAGCAGUGAAAUUAGUUUUUUUUACUGCAAUCAAGGU
rnacentral:lncRNA from 1 species